rnacentral:tRNA from 1 species
GCCGGAGUAGCUCAGUUGGUAGAGCAGCUCACUUGUAAUGAGCAGGUCAUCGGUUCGAGUCCGAUCUCCGGCU